rnacentral:miRNA from 14 species
GCAACUAAACACACUUCCACA